rnacentral:rRNA from 1 species
GAUGAACGCUGGCGGCGUGCCUAACACAUGCAAGUCGAGCGAUUCUCUUCGGAGAAGAGCGGCGGACGGGUGAGUAACGCGUGGGUAACCUGCCCUGUACACACGGAUAACAUAUCGAAAGGUAUGCUAAUACGAGAUAAUAUACUUUUAUCGCAUGGUAGAAGUAUCAAAGCUUUUGCGGUACAGGAUGGACCCGCGUCUGAUUAGCUAGUUGGUAAGGUAACGGCUUACCAAGGCGACGAUCAGUAGCCGACCUGAGAGGGUGAUCGGCCACAUUGGAACUGAGACACGGUCCAAACUCCUACGGGAGGCAGCAGUGGGGAAUAUUGCACAAUGGGCGAAAGCCUGAUGCAGCAACGCCGCGUGAGCGAUGAAGGCCUUCGGGUCGUAAAGCUCUGUCCUCAAGGAAGAUAAUGACGGUACUUGAGGAGGAAGCCCCGGCUAACUACGUGCCAGCCGCCGCAGUAAUAC